rnacentral:rRNA from 1 species
UAACAAGGAUUCCCUAGUAACUGCGAGUGAAGCGGGAAAAGCUCAAAUUUAAAAUCUGACAGUUUCACUGUCCGAGUUGUAAUCUGGAGAAGCAUUUUCCGUGUCGGACCGUGUACAAGUCUCUUGGAAUAGAGCGUCAUAGAGGGUGAGAAUCCCGUCCAUGACACGGACUACCGAUGCUUUGUGAUAUGCUCUCGAAGAGUCGAGUUGUUUGGGAAUGCAGCUCAAAAUGGGUGGUAAAUUCCAUCUAAAGCUAAAUAUUGGCGAGAGACCGAUAGCGAACAAGUACCGUGAGGGAAAGAUGAAAAGCACUUUGGAAAGAGAGUUAAACAGUACGUGAAAUUGUUGAAAGGGAAACGCUUGAAGUCAGUCGCGUUGAUUGAGACUCAGCCUUGCUUUGCAUGGUGUACUUCUCAGUUAACGGGUCAACAUCAAUUUCAGUUGGUGGAUAAAGGCAUUGGGAAUGUGGCACCUUCGGGUGUGUUAUAGACCUUUGUUGCAUACACUGACCGGGAUUGAGGAACGCAGCACGCCACUAAGGCCAGGGGUUCGCCCCAUGUAACGUGCUUAGGAUGUUGGCAUAAUGGCUUUAAGCGACCCGUCUUGAAACACGGACCAAGGAGUCUAACAUGCCUGCGAGUAUUAGGGUGGAAAACCCUUGUGCGUAAUGAAAGUGAAAGUUGGGACCUCUUGCGAGGGCACCGACGCCCGGCCCUGAAGUUUACUGACGGCGCUGCGGUAGAGCAUGUAUGUUGGGACCCGAAAGAUGGUGAACUAUGCCUGAAUAGGGUGAAGCCAGGGGAAACUCUGGUGGAGGCUCGUAGCGAUUCUGACGUGCAAAUCGAUCGUCAAAUUUGGG